rnacentral:rRNA from 1 species
CCUACGGGAGGCAUCAGUGAGGAAUAUUGGUCAAUGGACGAGAGUCUGAACCAGCCAAGUAGCGUGAAGGAUGACUGCCCUAUGGGUUGUAAACUUCUUUUAUAUGGGAAUAAAAUGUUCCACGUGUGGGCUUUUGUAUGUACCAUAUGAAUAAGGAUCGGCUAACUCCGUGCCAGCAGCCGCGGUAAUACGGAGGAUCCGAGCGUUAUCCGGAUUUAUUGGGUUUAAAGGGAGCGUAGGUGGAUUGUUAAGUCAGUUGUGAAAGUUUGCGGCUCAACCGUAAAAUUGCAGUUGAAACUGGCAGUCUUGAGUACAGUAGAGGUGGGCGGAAUUCGUGGUGUAGCGGUGAAAUGCUUAGAUAUCACGAAGAACUCCGAUGGCGAAGGCAGCUCACUGGACUGCAACUGACACUGAGGCUCGAAAGUGUGGGUAUCAAACAGGAUUAGAUACCCCUGUAGUC